GCUUCGUACCUACACAGAUCUGCUAAUGAAGACAAGAAUUUUAUCAAUUUCAUCCAGGAUUAAUUACCUUUAUUCGAAAUAUAGUUUGCUCACUCGCUUGAUCGAUGGAAAAUUUAUUUGACACUUGGAAAUUUCGCCAGCGAAAGCUGAAACUUUUACUCCAUCCAGCUAUAUACAUCAUGAUUGUAUGUGCUACCGGACUAUGAAACAUGGGAAUCCGAAUGUCGUGAUAAUACAACGACUUGUCGAGGGAACAAGACCGAUGUAAUGGCGAUGCUAUAAAUGAGACAACCGCUUGUAAUAAGAAACAACUUCGCAAAAAUAGAUUUGAUGCACAACUCAUAUAUUUCAGUAUACAU